CAAGCUGGAAAGCUUGGCGAUACAGGGUGAUAGCCCCGUAACCGACGCUUCAUCGAGCGUGAAAUCGAGUAGGGCGGGACACGUGAUAUCCUGUCUGAAUAUGGGGGGACCAUCCUCCAAGGCUAAAUACUCCUGACUGACCGAUAGUGAACCAGUACCGUGAGGGAAAGGCGAAAAGAACCCCUGUGAGGGGAGUGAAAUAGAACCUGAAACCGUGUACGUACAAGCAGUAGGAGCACCUUCGUGGUGUGACUGCGUACCUUUUGUAUAAUGGGUCAGCGACUUAUAUUCAGUGGCAAGGUUAACCGUAUAGGGGAGCCGUAGCGAAAGCGAGUCUUAACUGGGCGCUCAGUCUCUGGAUAUAGACCCGAAACCGGGUGAUCUAGCCAUGGGCAGGUUGAAGGUUGAGUAACAUCAACUGGAGGACCGAACCGACUAAUGUUGAAAAAUUAGCGGAUGACUUGUGGCUAGGGGUGAAAGGCCAAUCAAACUCGGAGAUAGCUGGUUCUCCCCGAAAGCUAUUUAGGUAGCGCCUCGGACGAAUACUACUGGGGGUAGAGCACUGUUAAGGCUAGGGGGUCAUCCCGACUUACCAACCCUUUGCAAACUCCGAAUACCAGUAAGUACUAUCCGGGAGACACACGGCGGGUGCUAACGUCCGUCGUGGAGAGGGAAACAACCCAGACCGCCAGCUAAGGUCCCAAAGUAUUGCUAAGUGGGAAACGAUGUGGGAAGGCUCAGACAGCUAGGAUGUUGGCUUAGAAGCAGCCAUCAUUUAAAGAAAGCGUAAUAGCUCACUAGUCGAGUCGGCCUGCGCGGAAGAUGUAACGGGGCUAAGCAAUACACCGAAGCUGCGGCAAUAUCUUUUAGAUAUUGGGUAGGGGAGCGUUCUGUAAGCCGUUGAAGGUGAAUCGUAAGGUUUGCUGGAGGUAUCAGAAGUGCGAAUGCUGACAUGAGUAACGACAAAGGGGGUGAAAAACCUCCUCGCCGGAAGACCAAGGGUUCCUGUCCAACGUUAAUCGGGGCAGGGUGAGUCGACCCCUAAGGUGAGGCCGAAAGGCGUAAUCGAUGGGAAACGGGUUAAUAUUCCCGUACUUCUGACUAUUGCGAUGGGGGGACGGAGAAGGCUAGGUGGGCCAGGCGACGGUUGUCCUGGUUCAAGUGCGUAGGCUUGAGAGUUAGGUAAAUCCGGCUCUCUUUAAGGCUGAGACACGACGUCGAGCUGCUACGGCAGUGAAGUCAUUGAUGCCAUGCUUCCAGGAAAAGCCUCUAAGCUUCAGAUAGUCAGGAAUCGUACCCCAAACCGACACAGGUGGUCGGGUAGAGAAUACCAAGGCGCUUGAGAGAACUCGGGUGAAGGAACUAGGCAAAAUGGUACCGUAACUUCGGGAGAAGGUACGCUCUUGAUGGUGAAGUCCCUCGCGGAUGGAGCUGACGAGAGUCGCAGAUACCAGGUGGCUGCAACUGUUUAUUAAAAACACAGCACUGUGCAAAAUCGCAAGAUGACGUAUACGGUGUGACGCCUGCCCGGUGCCGGAAGGUUAAUUGAUGGGGUUAGCGCAAGCGAAGCUCUUGAUCGAAGCCCCGGUAAACGGCGGCCGUAACUAUAACGGUCCUAAGGUAGCGAAAUUCCUUGUCGGGUAAGUUCCGACCUGCACGAAUGGCGUAAUGAUGGCCACGCUGUCUCCACCCGAGACUCAGUGAAAUUGAAAUCGCUGUGAAGAUGCAGUGUACCCGCGGCUAGACGGAAAGACCCCGUGAACCUUUACUACAGCUUGGCACUGAACAUUGAACCUACAUGUGUAGGAUAGGUGGGAGGCUAUGAAGACGUGACGCCAGUUGCGUUGGAGCCGUCCUUGAAAUACCACCCUUGUAUGUUUGAUGUUCUAACGUUGGCCCCUAAUCGGGGUUGCGGACAGUGCCUGGUGGGUAGUUUGACUGGGGCGGUCUCCUCCCAAAGAGUAACGGAGGAGCACGAAGGUGGGCUAAUCACGGUUGGACAUCGUGAGGUUAGUGCAAUGGCAUAAGCCCGCUUAACUGCGAGAAUGACGGUUCGAGCAGGUGCGAAAGCAGGUCAUAGUGAUCCGGUGGUUCUGUAUGGAAGGGCCAUCGCUCAACGGAUAAAAGGUACUCCGGGGAUAACAGGCUGAUACCGCCCAAGAGUUCAUAUCGACGGCGGUGUUUGGCACCUCGAUGUCGGCUCAUCACAUCCUGGGGCUGAAGUCGGUCCCAAGGGUAUGGCUGUUCGCCAUUUAAAGUGGUACGCGAGCUGGGUUUAGAACGUCGUGAGACAGUUCGGUCCCUAUCUGCCGUGGGCGUUGGAAGAUUGAAGGGGGCUGCUCCUAGUACGAGAGGACCGGAGUGGACGAACCUCUGGUGUUCGGGUUGUGUCGCCAGACGCAUUGCCCGGUAGCUAAGUUCGGAAUUGAUAAGCGCUGAAAGCAUCUAAGCGCGAAGCGAGCCCUGAGAUGAGUCUUCCCUGAUACUUUAAGUAUCCUAAAGGGUUGUUCGAGACUAGAACGUUGAUAGGCAGGGUGUGUAAGCGUUGUGAGGCGUUGAGCUAACCUGUACUAAUUGCCCGUGAGGCUUAACCAUACAACACCCA
rnacentral:rRNA from 1 species